rnacentral:rRNA from 1 species
GACGAACGCUGGCGGCGUGCUUAACACAUGCAAGUCGAACGGAAAGGCCCUGCUUUUGUGGGGUGCUCGAGUGGCGAACGGGUGAGUAACACGUGAGUAACCUGCCCUUGACUUUGGGAUAACUUCAGGAAACUGGGGCUAAUACCGGAUAGGAGCUCCUGCUGCAUGGUGGGGGUUGGAAAGUUUCGGCGGUUGGGGAUGGACUCGCGGCUUAUCAGCUUGUUGGUGGGGUAGUGGCUUACCAAGGCUUUGACGGGUAGCCGGCCUGAGAGGGUGACCGGCCACAUUGGGACUGAGAUACGGCCCAGACUCCUACGGGAGGCAGCAGUGGGGAAUAUUGCACAAUGGGCGGAAGCCUGAUGCAGCAACGCCGCGUGCGGGAUGACGGCCUUCGGGUUGUAAACCGCUUUCGCCUGUGACGAAGCGUGAGUGACGGUAAUGGGUAAAGAAGCACCGGCUAACUACGUGCCAGCAGCCGCGGUGAUACGUAGGGUGCGAGCGUUGUCCGGAUUUAUUGGGCGUAAAGGGCUCGUAGGUGGUUGAUCGCGUCGGAAGUGUAAUCUUGGGGCUUAACCCUGAGCGUGCUUUCGAUACGGGUUGACUUGAGGAGGUAGGGGAGAAUGGAAUUCCUGGUGGAGCGGUGGAAUGCGCAGAUAUCAGAGGAACACCAGUGGCGAAGGCGGUUCUCUGGGCCUUCCCUGACGCUGAGGAGCGAAAGCGUGGGGAGCGAACAGGCUUAGAUACCCUGGUAGUCCACGCUGUAAACGGUGGGUACUAGGUGUGGGGUCCAUUCCACGGGUUCCGUGCCGUAGCUAACGCUUUAAGUACCCCGCCUGGGGAGUACGGCCGCAAGGCUAAGACUCAAAGGAAUUGACGGGGCCCCGCACAAGCGGCGGAGCAUGCGGAUUAAUUCGAUGCAACGCGUAGAACCUUACCUGGGUUUGACAUGGAUCGGGAGUGCUCAGAGAUGGGUGUGCCUCUUUUGGGGUCGGUUCACAGGUGGUGCAUGCCUGUCGUCAGCUCGUGUCGUGAGAUGUUGGGUUAAGUCCCGCAACGAGCGCAACCCUUGUUCACUGUUGCCAGCACGUUAUGGUGGGGACUCAGUGGAGACCGCCGGGGUCAACUCGGAGGAAGGUGGGGAUGACGUCAAGUCAUCAUGCCCCUUAUGUCCAGGGCUUCACGCAUGCUACAAUGGCUGGUACAGAGAGUGGCGAGCCUGUGAGGGUGAGCGAAUCUCGGAAAGCCGGUCUCAGUUCGGAUUGGGGUCUGCAACUCGACCUCAUGAAGUCGGAGUCGCUAGUAAUCGCAGAUCAGCAACGCUGCGGUGAAUACGUUCCCGGG